rnacentral:lncRNA from 1 species
AGUGUCACCAGCUAUGAAUUAUUAGAUGUCAUCUAAUGAAUUUAUAACAACGAGUGAAAUAUCUUACACAAAUCAGGUAAGUUCUUUCUUAAAUAAUUAUAGUAUCCAAGGAUGUAGUUUGAUCUAAAUAAUCACGAUCCAUUUAAAUGAUUUUUUGAUAGAGAAUAAAGUAUUCUGGACUUAAAGCAAACUAGUUUCUUGUUAUCCACCCUUGAUUUAUUUUCUUUAUGUGGAUCUAUUUGAAUACAUCACUGAUAUUAGAAAUGAAUCUUGAGAGGCCUUUUGUUAUGUCUGCGCCAGAUAUUUUCAUUUAUACCUUGCAUGUAAGGUAGCAUGUUGAAGCAUCAGAGCCUAUGAUGAUAUCUUCUGAGUGGGAACUCUGCUUGUUUACCCACUUCAUGUGAAGGAAUUCAAACCAAGAAUGAACCUUGAUUAGAUUAAAUAAUUUACAAUCUAGUAUAAAGAGAACUAUGAGUUAGCAAAAUACAGGAGAUAAUAACUAGAACCUAAGCAAAAGAAAAAAAGAACAUAUUCAAAGCUAAUUCAGCUGUGUACAUAAGUAAAAUUGCACAGGUGGCUUCAAUAUUGGAGCAUCAGAAGUCCAUAAUGAUAUCUUCUNNNNNNNNNNNNNNNNNNNNCCAUAAUGAUAUCUUCUGAGUGGGAAUUCUGCUUGUUUAGCCACUUCAUGUGAAAGAAUUCAAACCAAGAUUGAACACUUGAUUAGAUUAAAUAAUUUUACCAUCUAGUAUAAAGAGAACUAUGAGUUAGCAAAAUACAGGAGAUAAUAACUAAAACGUAAGCAAAAGAAAAAAAAAAUAUUUGAAGCUAACUCAGCUGUGUACAUAGGCAAAAUGCACAGGUGGCUUAAAUAUGUGUGGGUGUAAUUUUUCAAAUGAUGCUAUGAAAAGCUUUAGGUGCAGCCAGAUUAGCUUUUACGUACCACUUACACAAAAUACUGUCCUAGUUUCCCUACUUGCCCUGUGAAUUAUUAAAUGCAAACGGUUUGCGACUCAUUAUGAUCUCCUCAUGCAGAUCAUUAGCUCUUGUGGGUUUUUACAUUUAUAAUAUAUUUAUGUCAUUGUUUUUUUCCAAAUGUUUUGUGAGAUAUUCUUGUUAGUCACAAUCAUAUUUUCCAGC